AUGGCGGGCUUCAAUCUCUUCCGGCUGCGGCCGUUGGCGGAGUUGUUGCCGGAGGUCGAGGGCCCCGCGGAGGCCGUUCCUUUCCGGCGGAAGGCGGCCUACACCGCCGGCUCGCUCCUCGUCUUCCUGGCGGGCAGCCAGCUCCCGCUCUAUGGGAUCCACAACAGCCGGGCCGGGGCUGCCGACGACCCGCUCUACUGGGUCCACACGGCCUACGCGGCCAACCGCGGAACCGCCAUGUCCCUCGGCGUUUACCCCCUCCUCAUGUCCGAGUUGAGCACCCACCUCCUCCUGGGGUCAGGGGCCAUUAAUCCCCUCCCGGAAAACCGUCUUCUCAUGACCGGAGGGCUGAAGAAGGCGCUGGGGGUGUUGUUCUCCGCCGCGAUGCCGGUCCGCGACGUGCUAUCCGCGACCUACUUGGGCGCCGGGAGCGCGAUCCUUGUCGUGCUGCAGAUCUCCAUUGGAAGCGUCGUUCUCAUUUAUCUCGACGACGCUCUUAGAAAGGGCUAUGGCCUCCUUUCCGGCAUCCCGUUGCUCACCUCCGCACAUGUUUGCGCAACUCUUUUCUGGAGAGCCUUCAGAGACGGCGCACAUGGAAACCUAGCGGCGAUGUUUGCCUUCUUUCUGCUUGUGUGCGGAUUGCAAGGCCUGCAUGUCGCGUUGCCACUGACAGAUGAUGCGCCUGCUGCUAGGUUUCAGUCCAACUACAGCAUCAGCAUAUCCUACCUCGCCUAUGCCCCCAUCAUAUUCCAAGCCACGCUUGUUGCAUGCACAUAUACAUUCUCAGAGCAAUUAUUUACGGUAUUUGGCGGAAACAAGAUCGUCAACCUGCUCAGCAAGUGGGAGAGAUCUAAACGUUUUGCAGGGUUUAUUCCAGUAAGCGGGGUCGCCUACUACCUAACUACGCCACCAACCUUGGCUGAUUCAGCAAGAGACCCGGUGCACGCGUGCCUCUACGCCGCCUUGCUGCUCAUGGGAUGCGCCCUCAUAUCGACGGCCUGGUUCGGGCUGUGCAGAUACUCAAGGAGGUACGUGUCUAGGUUGGUCGGGGAAAGAGUGACCGUGACGCCUGCGCGGGCCGGCUCGAUUCGCCUCAGCCGAUGUAAGGCCCGUGUCACCAUGGUGGCCUUCGUCGUUGGACUCUGUGUCGGCGCGCUGACCCUCCUUGCGGGCUUCAUGGGCGUCAGCGGCUCCGGCACUGGAAUUAUGCUCGCCGUCACCGGCAUAUACUCUUCUUGUUUCGACACCAGAGCUUCUUCUGGGAUUGAUGCAAUUGGACUCUGA
rnacentral:rRNA from 1 species